AUUGAACGCUGGCGGCAGGCCUAACACAUGCAAGUCGAGCGAGCGGCGGACGGGUGAGUAAUGUAUGGGGACUGCCCGAUAGAGGGGGAUAACCACUGGAAACGGUGGCUAACACCGCAUACUAUCGGAUAACCUAUAUGGGAUUAGCUAGUAGGCGGGGUAAAGGCUCACCUAGGCGACGAUCUCUAGCCGGUCGGAGAGGAUGAUCAGCCACACGGGGACUGAGAAACGGCCCAAACUCCAACGGAGGCGGCGGUGGGGAAUAUUGGACAAUGGGGGCAAGCCUGAUGCAGCCAUGCCGCGUGUAUGAAGAAGGCCUUAGGGUUGUAAAGUACUUUCAGCGGGGAGGCGUUACCCGCAUAAGAAGCACCGGCUAACUCCGUGCCAGCAGCCGCGGUAAUUC
rnacentral:rRNA from 1 species